AUAACCGUGUCACAGCUGUCCGCCAGCCGGGUUCCACAUUUAAGCCGCUUGCUGUAUACGGACCGGCGAUGCAGGA
rnacentral:tRNA from 1 species